rnacentral:rRNA from 1 species
UACGGUGGGUGCGAGCGUUAAUCGGAAUAACUGGGCGUAAAGGGCACGCAGGCGGACUUUUAAGUGAGGUGUGAAAUCCCCGGGCUUAACCUGGGAAUUGCAUUUCAUACUGGUAGGCUAGAGUAUUGUAGGGGGGGGUAGAAUUCCACGUGUAGCGGUGAAAUGCGUAGAGAUGUGGAGGAAUACCGAAGGCGAAGGCAGCCCCUUGGGAAUGUACUGACGCUCAUGUGCGAAAGCGUGGGGAGCAAACAGG